AAGGAGGAGGGCGCGGGCCGUGUAUAAAAGGCCUUCCCCUCGCCAGCCUCCCGUGUCGCCUUCCCGGAGUGGUGGGGGACAGUGAGCCAGGAUUGGCCGCGUGGCGCUGGAAGAUGUCUUGCCAGCAACCUCAGCAGCAGUGCAAACAGGCCUGCAUGCCGCCCCCGUGCAAAGAGCCGUGUCUUCCGAAAACCACGGAGCCGUGCCCCCAGCAGUGCACGGAGCCAUGCCCACAACAGGGCACGGAGCCGUGUCCGCCGAAAUCCCCGCCUCUCCAGCAGUGCUAGAACAGCAGCGCCACGAAUUAACUGCAGCCGCCGGGCGAGGAGACGGCAAAUUCCAACGCGCGAGCCGAGUCCCCUCGCUCCCGGCUGCUUUACUGUUGCGCUUCUCGUCUUCCAGCUCAGAACUGGCCUAGCAGCCGGCACCGGCCGCUGGGAGGGGUUUGGCACUGACACAGGUUCACAAGCUGCACAGUUCUGAGGACCUGUGUGUGCGUGUGGCUGGGGCCUGGGGAACAGCUCUGGAAAUCCUGGGGCAUGACCAAACCCGAGGAAAACGGAGCCCCCAUUGGAACAGCUGGAAUAAAACCCGAGUGGCCAGA